rnacentral:rRNA from 1 species
AGGGUUUGAUCAUGGCUCAGAAUGAACGCUGGCGGCGUGGAUAAGACAUGCAAGUCGAACGGAAAGACUACUAGUUUACUAAUAGUUUUUUAGUGGCGGACGGGUUAGUAACACGUGAGUAACAUGCCUUGAAGUGGGGGAUAGCCUUUCGAAAGGAAGAUUAAUACCGCAUGUGGUCUUCGGACCAAAGAUGCCUUUGGGUGUCGCUUUAAGAUUGGCUCGCGGCCUAUCAGCUAGAUGGUGAGGUAACGGCUCACCAUGGCAACGACGGGUAGCUGUUCUGAGAGGAAGAUCAGCAACACUGGAACUGAGACACGGUCCAGACACCUACGGGUGGCAGCAGUCGAGAAUCAUUCACAAUGGGGGAAACCCUGAUGGUGCAACGCCGCGUGGAGGAUGAAGGCCCUAGGGUCGUAAACUCCUGUCAUAUAAGAGUAAGGCAUAUUUGGUUAAUACCCAUAUAUGUUUGAUAGUAUUAUAAGAGGAAGGGACGGCUAACUUCGUGCCAGCAGCCGCGGUAAUACGAAGGUCCCAAGCGUUAUUCGGAAUCACUGGGCGUAAAGAGUACGUAGGCGGUUUGGUAAGUCAGGUGUGAAAUCCCGGAGCUCAACUCCGGAACUGCAUCCGAUACUGCUAGACUGGAGUAAUGGAGAGGCAGGUGGAAUUCUCGGUGUAGCAGUGAAAUGCGUGGAUAUCGAGAGGAAGACCAAUGGCGAAGGCAGCCUGCUGGACAUUUACU